UGACCUCAAAUCGGGUAGGAUUACCCGCUGAACUUAAGCAUAUCAAUAAGCGGAGGAAAAGAAACUAACAAGGAUUCCCCUAGUAACUGCGAGUGAAGCGGGAUGAGCUCAAAUUUAAAAUCUGGCGGUCUCUGGCCGUCCGAGUUGUAUUCUGGAGAAGUGCUUUCCGCGCUGGACCGUGUAUAAGUCUCUUGGAACAGAGCGUCAUAGAGGGUGAGAAUCCCGUCUUUGACACGGACUACCAGUGCUUUGUGAUGCGCUCUCAAAGAGUCGAGUUGUUUGGGAAUGCAGCUCAAAAUGGGUGGUAAAUUCCAUCUAAAGCUAAAUAUUGGCGAGAGACCGAUAGCGAACAAGUACCGUGAGGGAA
rnacentral:rRNA from 1 species